CAUGUGCGUCUACCUCAGUGAGGUGAACAGAGAAGUAAGGAAAAGAACAAACAGCAGGUGGCGCUAUACAGAUACAUUUUAUUGAAUAACUCAGUGGCUAUGCUAAAUGUUUAAUUACAUGCAAUUACAAAAGUAUUCAAAAAUUUGUU